AGAACAAUCAGGUUUUUUCGGGCU
rnacentral:siRNA from 1 species